rnacentral:rRNA from 1 species
CUUUAGGAAGUUAUAUAAAGUCGAUCCUGCUCACUGAUGAGAUUAAAGAGCCGCGGUAUUUUGACCGUGCAAAGGUAGCAUAAUCAAUAGUCUUUUAAUUGAAGGCUGGAAUGAAUGGUUUGACGAAAUAAUAGCUGUCUUAAUUUAAUUAGUUGAAUUUUAUUUUUAAGUUAAAAAGCUUAAAUUUUGGAAAGGGACGAGAAGACCCUAUAGAUUUUUAUAUUAUUAUAGUUAUUUUUAUUGGGAAAUUUUUAAUUGUAGUAGUAUUUGAUUGGGGUGAUAUAAGAAUAGAUUAACUUCUUUUAUAUAGUAACAAAAAUAAUUGAAUUAGUGGUCCUUUAUUAAAGAUUGGAAGAUUAAAAUACCUUAGGGAUAACAGCGUUAUAUUAUUUGAGAGUUCUAAUCGAGAAUAAUGAUUGCGACCUCGAUGUUGGAUUAAGAGUAUUUUUCGGUGUAGUGAUUGAAAAAAUGAGUCUGUUC